UGGUGUAAAAUAGUCAUAUGUUUGAGAAAUUGAAGUAAUAGCAUUUCUAAGGUAUUUGAAUAUCGCGCCACUCGAUUUCACUGGCUGUUGACUAGGUGGGACGAUUUCGUCCCACAUACCCUAGAGAGGUUAACCAGGGACUGAUUUAGACCUGGGACGUCAUGUCAUUAUUCCCUUCUAAUCAGGGGCUGAUUUAGACCCGGGACAUCAGGUCAUUAUUCCCCUUUAACCAGGGACUGAUUUAGACCUGGGACAUCAGGUCGUUAUUCCCCUUUAACCAGGGGCUGAUUUAGACCUGGGACAUCAGGUCAUUGUUCUCCCCUAAUCAGGGACUGAUUUUAGACCUGGGACAUCAGGUCAUUAUUCCCCUUUAACCAGGGACUGGUUUAGACUUGGGACAUCAGGUCAUUAUUCCCCUCUAAUCAGGGACUGAUUUAGACCUGGGACAUCAGGUCAUUAUUCCCCUCUAAUCAGGGACUGAUUUAGACCUGGGACAUCAGGUCAUUGUUCCCCUCUAAACUGAUUUAGACCUGGGACAUCAGGUCAUUAUUCCCCUUUAACCAUGGACUGAUUUAGACCUGGGACAUCAGGUCAUUAUUCCCCUUUAACCAUGGACUGAUUUAGACCUGGGACAUCAGGUCAUUAUUCCCCUUUAACCAGGGACUGAUUUAGACCUGGGACGUCAUGUCAUUAUUCCCCUCUAAUCAGGGGCUGAUUUAGACCAGAGGUGUGUGUGUGUGUGUGUGUGUGUGUGUGUGUGUGUAACAGAGUCUGUCAGAGGAGUGUGUGUGUGUGUGUGUGUGUAACAGAGUCUGUCAGAGGAGUGUGUGUGUGACAGAGUCUGUCAGAGGAGUGUGUGUGUGUAACAGAGUCUGUCAGAGGUGUGUGUGUGUGUGUGUGUGUGUGUGUGUGAGUGUGUGUGUGUGCCCUUCUACUUGACAGUGAAAAUGCAAUGCUUCUUUCAGUCCGAGUAUGAAAGCCAUCCUGUUUUCUUGAACACCUUGUUUGUUUAAGGCCAAGAAAACUACAGGGAAACACUCAGGGUGGCAUUCAUACUCAGACUGAAAGAAGCAUUUUAUUUUCACUUUUAUUUAACAUCGAUACUAACAUAACAGGUUAUAAUACACUAGGUAUGCAUGCACACAAACAUCUCAGCACUCCCUUCAGCAACUUGCCCAAGCCCCCCCACCCCGCUUCUCCUUCACCCAAAUCCAGACAGACCUGGCUACCCCAACCCCAGUCAGCAGCUCUGCACCCCCCACAGCAACUUGCCCAAGCCCCCCAUUUCUCCUUCACCCAAAUCCAGAUAGCUGAUGUUCUGAAAGAGCUGCAAAAUCUGGACCCAUACAAAUCAGCCGGGCUAGACAAUCUGGAACCUCUCUUUCUAAAAUUAUCUGCCGAAAUUGUUGUAACUCCUAUUACUAGCCUGUUCAACUUCUCUUUCGUAUCGUCUGAGAUUCCCAAAGAUUGGAAAGCUGCCGCGGUCAAACUGCUACAGACCUAUAUCUAUCCUACCCUGCCUUUCUAAAGUCUUCGAAAGCCAAGUUAACAAACAGAUCACCGACCAUUUCGAAUCCCACCGUACCUUCUCCGCUGUGAAAUCUGGUUUACGAGCUGGUCAUUGGUGCACCUCAGCCACGCUCAAGGUCCUAAACAAUAACAUAUCCACCAUCGAUAAAAGACAGUACUGUGCAGCCGUAUUCAUCGACCUGGCCAAGGCUUUCGACUCUGUCAAUCACCGCAUUCUAAUCGUCAUACUCAAUAGCCUUGGUUUCUCAAAUGACUGCCUCGCCUUGAUCACCAACUAUUUCUCUGAUAGAGUUCAGUGUGUCGAAUCGGAGGGCCUGUUAUCUGGACCUCUGGCAGUCUCUGGGUGGGUGCCACAGGGUUCAAUUCUCGGGCCAAGUCUCUUCUCUGUAUACA
rnacentral:lncRNA from 1 species